rnacentral:lncRNA from 1 species
UUUUGUUUUCUUUUUUAUGUAUAUCACUGGGUUUUAAGAGAAAGGUGCUUGCAAAUCUGAUACUAGACAGUGUUCGUGCACAAACCUUUGGGUUCAAUGGCGACCCUUGGCAACAAUGACUAUGUCAGCAAAUCUUAGAAAUGUUGGACUGGGCGAUGGUCACCGCUCCACUAGACUUCGCGUGAAGCUGCACUAGCUCUUUGCCGCCGCUCCCCUCUCCUGGAGCAGACACGACAACGAAGCUCAUGAGGUUGGCUUGUGGUUUCUCCUCUUCAUCCAGGUGAGCGUCGUCUACAAUAGUGAACACCGGAGCCAGCACACUAUCUCCUCUACGAAUGGGCUCAUCUUGUGAGCACUUAUGUGACCACGAAAGAUCACUCAUCGCUUUCCACCUCUUAUGAUAGUUGUCCGUGGAGACCCAAAACUGACUGUCCGCAAUGCCUCUCCUUAUCACGAUCUAACAUAUACCAAAAUCACCUCAGAGUGCUCAGAAACCUUGCACCCCUGCUCUCUCCUCGGCCGCUGCCGCUUCAUCUCAUAACCAAAUUAGGACUCUUAAGGUAGUAGCUGGCAUAGAAUAUCUCUUCAGCAAAGGUCUAAACAUUUUCAUACUUCAUUGUGAGAUGUCCUUUGUG